rnacentral:rRNA from 1 species
GAUGAACGCUGGCGGUGUGCCUAAUACAUGCAAGUCGAGCGAACAGACGAGGAGCUUUCUCCUCUGACGUUAGCGGCUGACGGGUGAGUAACACGUGGAUAACCUACCUAUAAGACUGGGAUAACUUCGUGAAACCGGAGCUAAUACCGCAUAAUAUAUUGAACCGCAUGGUUCAAUAGUGAAAGACGGUUUUGCUGUCACUUAUAGCUGGAACCGCGCCGGAUUAGCUAGUUGGUAAGGUAACGGCUUACCAAGGCAACGAUGCCUAGCAGACCUGAGAGGGUGAUCAGACACACUGGAGCUGAGAAACGAUCCGAACUCCUACGGCGAGAAGCAGGAGGGAAUCCUCCCCAAUGGGCGAAAGCCUGACCGAGCAACCGCGCGUGAGUGAUGAAGGUCUUCGGAUCGUAAAGCUCUUUUAUUAGGAAAGAAGAGUCGUGUGAGAAACCAUGAUCGUUCUGACGGUACCUAAUGAGAAAGCACCGGCUAACUUCGUG